rnacentral:rRNA from 1 species
UGGGGAAUAUUGCACAAUGGGCGCAAGCCUGAUGCAGCCAUGCCGCGUGUGUGAAGAAGGUCUUCGGGUUGUAAAGCACUUUCAGCGGGGAGGAAGGCGAUAAGGUUAAUAACCUCAUCGAUUGACGUUACCCGCAGAAGAAGCACCGGCUAACUCCGUGCCAGCAGCCGCGGUAAUACGGAGGGUGCAAGCGUUAAUCGGAAUUACUGGGCGUAAAGCGCACGCAGGCGGUCUGUCAAGUCGGAUGUGAAAUCCCCGGGCUCAACCUGGGAGCUGCAUUCGAAAAUGGCAGGCUAGAGUCUUGUAGAGGGGGGUAGAAUUCCAGGUGUAGCGGUGAAAUGCGUAGGAAACAGGCGGAAUACCGGUGGCGGAGGCGGCCCCCAGGACGAAGACUGACGCUCAGGUGCGAAAGCAUGGGGAGCAAACAGG